UGCAGGCAUGUGCCACCACGCUGGCUAAUUUUUGUAUGUUUAACGGAGACAAGGUUUUAGUGUGUUGGCCAGGCUGGUCUCGAACUCUUGACCUCAGGUGAUCCGCCUGCCUUGGUCUCCCAAAGUGCUGGGAUUACAGGCGUGAGCCACCGCACCCAGCCAAUUUUCUUCCUUUUUAAGGCUGAAUAAUAUUCAAUUAUAUAUACAUUCUACAUUUUGUUAUUCGUCCGUUGAUAGGCUGCCUUCACCCUUUGGCCAUUGCAAAUAAUGCUGCUAUAAACAUGGGUGUACAAAUAUCAGAAACCCUGCUUUCAGUUCUUUCAGCUAUAUACCUAGAAGUGUAAGUCUAUAUCAUAGUAAUUCUAUUUUUAAUAUGGGGGGACCUCCAUACUGUUUUUCAUAGCAGCUGCACCAUUUUACAUUCCCACCAAUAGUGCACAAGAGUUCUGAUUUUUCCACAUCCUCACCAACACUCAUUUUUUUUAAAUAGUAGGUAUCCCAAUGAGUGUGCGUUCAUAUCCCAUUGGAGUUUUGAUUUGUACUUUUAGAGUCUUUAAAUUAUUACUUUUUCCAUAUCAAAGUACUUUGUGGGAAGUUGGUUAUUUUACAUUCUCAUACCAUGCUUUGUAUUACUUUCCCAUUUGGAUGCCCUUUUCAUCCUUCACCUCAUCCUGUAAACCCAAAAUCUAACUUAAAUCCCAAAUCCAACUUCCACUGUAAAGCCUUUGCUGACUUCUUUACUUCACAUUGAUUUCUGAAUUUCUAAAAGUUCCUCAUUGUCUACCACAAAACUAAGUAUUUGUUUAUAAGAAAAAGCUUUAUUUAGUCCUAUAUUAUUCUCUGAUUAUUCCAUAUGUUAUCUUCCAAACUAGAUUGUUAGGUCUUCAAGAGCAGAAGAAAUUUAUUUUAUACUUAUAAACUUCAAGAUUUGCUGAAGUACUUUGGGUGCUAAAUGCUUCUAGCUUAUUCGUUUAGUUUACAUGACUUUCUGCAUGUGAAACUUGAGAAAACUGCAAAUCUAAUACCUUGGUCUUACAGAACUGAACAAUACUUAAAUGUGUUUAAACCUGCUAUAUAAAAUGUCAGAUGUAAAAGCGAAUAUCUAAUGAAGCACCUUUUCCCUUUUCUAAAAUUCAAUAGUAAGGGCCAGGCACAGUGGCUCACACCUGAAAUCCCAGCGCUUUGGGAGGCCGAGGCGGGUGGAUCCCUUGAGGUUAAGAGUUCAAGACCAGCCUGGCCAACAUGGUGAAACGCCGUCUCUACUAAAAAUACAAAAAAAAAUGGCCAGGCGUGGUGGUGCACGCCUGUAAUCCCAGCUACUUGGGAGUCUGAGACAGGAAAAUCGCUUGAACCCGGGAGGCAGAGGUUACAGUGAGCUGAGGUCACGUCACUGUACUCCAGCCUGGGCAACAAGAGUGAAACUCUAUCUCAAAAAAAAAAAAAAAAAUUACAAUAGUAAUAAUUAUGCCUUCUAACACUAAAAUCAAAUAACCUUACUUAUCAGUUACAUUGCCUACUAAGCUGACUUAUUUUCUGACUUUUCCUUUGCUUUAUUCUCUUAUUUCUUCCAAGUAACCAUAUUCUCUUUUACCCUCCUGUUCAACUGUCUAUGCUCCUUCUCUCUUUGUUCACUAUUUUGAUAUUUAAAUGUUAUGACUUAUUUUCAAGUAAAUAUUUUUUUAAUUUCUUCAUUUGGGAUAAAAUAUUCACUACAUAAAUUUAGUGGAUAAAUACCCCCACAGAGAUCGACCCUGCAUGAAAUGUGUUCCCUCAGAAGUAGGGCAAUUCAUUCAUUAUGAGAUCAAGCCAUAAAAUUUAAAUCCAAGCAGUAAUUCUCCAAUUAAAGUAACUCUAGAGCUUAGUUUUCAGUCCUCCUGAAUCAUAACUAGUUGGCAACAAAAACUAGUAUGCCUUGGUGUGAAUAAACCUUAACAUAGAAACUCACCCAGCCUCAAAAGUUAAAAAUUAAGAGAGAUAUGUAUUCAGGUGGCCAUUUAUACACAAUAUUUUUGAAUACUAUUCUGGCCAAAUUAGUAUAAAAUGGGUUACUCUAAAAUGAAAUUUUAAAAGUAUAUAAACAUCUUAAACUUUAAAACUUCAGCCCAGCUAGAAGUCAACGUGUGUUUCUGAAACUAUGCUGGGGAAAGUAGCUCUGUCCAUAAUGAUUAUAUAGUUGUUAGCAAAAUAUUGGUCAAAACUUUUUCAGUUUAAUGAGUUUCAAGAUAUUCUUCAAACUGGCCUCUGUGAACUCUUUCUUGACAAGUGAAACCUGGCUCCAACAAUGACUACUUUAUUCUACCUCUCAUUUAUUUUCUGUUUAAUAAAUCCAGUAUUUGGGCAUACAAACUGUAUACAACAUUUUAUAACACUCUAAUGUGGAUAAGACACCUCAAAAACAGGAGUUUAGUCAUUUCAGUCACAUGUUUCUAAUACAUGAUAAGAUUUGCAGUUAUCGUUUAAUUAAUUGCAAUAUGGAAAUAGAUACUAAAAAAUCUAAAUUGCAUCUUACAUUUCAACAAUGGAUGUUUAAAGCGUUUAAAAGUUAUGUUUUGCAUUUUACAACAUAUUGAAGAUACACAUUUUAAAUUUAACUCUAAACAAUGCAAUAAUCUAGAGAAUCAGAGAAUUGGAUCCUGAAACACCUUAUAAGUUCAGUCCUGUUGAUUAGUAUGUUUCCCUGUCCUAGAGUGCAUGAACUUUCAAAGCCAGGACACAAUCUUGUUCACUUUUCAUGCCAUCAUCUUGACACUCAAUACAUGUUCAAAGAGUAAAUUAAAGAAAAAAGAGAUGCUCAAGUCAAUUUAUAAGUAAUCCUCACAAAUGCUUGCAUACCAUCAGUGAACAAUUAUUUUUUUAUCUCCAUGCUAUAAUCUUGCACAAGUUUCAUUAGAAUUAAAUGCACUAUCUGAAGUCUAUGUUUAUUAAAUGAGGAUUACAGUAGUUGGUUAUCUUUGUGAGGGGUUUUGAGGGUUGUGGAACAGGAUAACAUUUUGAGGUACAAAAAAUAAUGAAGAGGAUAUAUUCCAAUUUCUUUCCUUCCCCAAGGCUUUUCAUUACAGCUGUUAUAAACCCUGGUAGAAUUGAUUGGUUUCCUUUUCAGCUUCCUGUUUUGUCCCUCAAUGUUCACAAAAGUCCCAUCUGAUAAAUGUAUUGUUUAACCUCUCAUUGUUUGAAAGAACACCUCUUUGCUCCCCACAGAUUACAGACCUAUUGGCUUAAGCAGUCCAUCUAAAUGCAUGCCAGUUUCUUUCUUGAUAAAUUAGAGGCCUAUAACCUCAAACCAGUUUAUCUGCAAGAGAAGUGUGUGAAGUUAGACUCAAUUCUUCCGCUAAUGGAACAUCGUAAUCCUCCUUGUCAUCUUUCCUUUGGCCUUCCUGAAUAGAAAUCAUUUAUGAGGAAGUUACAUGAGCUCAACAUGAGCCCCAUGUCACUCAGCAAACAUUUAUUUGAGUACUUACAAUGUGCUAGGCUUUGUUCUAUGCAUUUAAGAUAGUGUAUUAAAUGUAUUGACCUCAUGAAGAUUCUAUUCUCGCAGUGGGGAGAUAGACAAUAAACAAUUAAUAUAAGCAAAUGUUAAGUAUGUUAGAAGUAUGUUAGAAGAUGUGCUGUGAAAUAAAGAAAAAGGUAGACCAGGGUAUGAGGGAUUAGGAGUGUGGGGGCAGCAGCAGGAGAGUUUCGGUAUUAAAUAGGGUGGACAGGGCAGGUCUCUUGGAGAAGAUGCCAUUGAAGGAGGUGGAAAAAAUGUAGCCACUAAAUGGGCUGAGGGUAGAGCAUAUGAACAGAGAGAAAGGCCAGAGGACAGGCUCCAAGGCAUGCUUGGCAGGUUCAAGGAACAGCAGGGAGGCUCAUGUGGCUGGAAUGGAGUGAGCUAGCAGGAGAGAAGAUGAAGUUAGAGGGAGAGAGAAAGUGGGGAGCCAGAUCAUAGAGGGCUUUGCAGGUCACUUGUAAGGACUUUAGCUUUCUAACUUUUGUAAGGACUUCAACUUCUACUCACAGUGAAAUUGUGAAAUUCCAGAACCAAAAAGAAGAUCCUGGUAAAAGAGAAACUUUCAGCAAAAUAUAUUUAACAUUUUAUUUGAGUGAAGAACAAUUCAUCCAUCAGGCAGCACUGAGAACCAGAAGACAUUCAGAGAGCUCUGCUUUGCGAGGUAUGCAGUGAACAUUCAUAGACAGAAAACAAAAAUUAAGUACAGAAAUAGCUUGAUUGGUUACAGAUAGGCAUUUGCCUUAUUUGGACAUGGUCUGCUCCAAAUAAGGCAAGUUGGCAGCAUGCAAUUGGCUGUGACCUAUCUGUUACAAAAAUAUAUCUAUAUAAUCCUAAAUUAGGUUUCAGUUUAUUUAAGUACUAAAUUAGGUUGCAAUUUAUUACAUGGGAACUCAAAGUCUGGAGACAGCCUCAGGCCAAGGUCCUCUUGCUUAUUUAAUUUAGCAAUCCUAAAAUUUUCCAGAGAGGAAACACAUCACACACACACACACACACACACACACACACACACACACACACACUACCUACAAAAAAAUAACAAUUAGAAAGUAAUUGGAGCUUGAAGUAUUCUAGAAGACUUUGGAGCAAAGCCUUCCAAAUUCUGAGAGGAAAAUAUUUUUAACCUAGGAUUCUAUUCAUACCUACCCAGACUAACAAGUAGCAGGCAGAUGAUAAAUAUAUUUUUAGGUGGUUAGGUGAUGAAACACCUCCUCCAAAUGAAGGCAUAAACAACAAUGCAUGGGGAUCCAAGAAACAGUGACUCCAACCCAAGAGAGCAGUGAACAAAUCCACAGGACAGCAGCUAAGUAGGAGGCCUAAACAUCACCUGGGGCAGAUGGGGCGAGAGAGCAGAGAGCUUGGGAAAGAAGUCUCUGAGGAGAAAGAAUGAGGCAAUAAGUCAGAUGCGUAUUUGCGGACCUCAGAAAAAUUUGAGUACAUAGGAAACAAUAGAUGAAGGAUAGAAAUAAUCCAUUCAGAUUCUCUCCUUUGCAUGAUGACCACAUUAAACUUACAGAGUAAGAAAUGUCAUUCUAGAUUUGAUUCUACUGUUUGUCUUUGCAGUGAGCUAUGUUUUUUUAUAACAUGUAGAAGUGAAAUAAACUUGUCACAAAAAUGCAAAUUGUGUCACCAAUUUUCAGCUUAACAACAUAAAAAUAAUUAUAUACACUGACCCAGGUUAAGGACGGGUAGAAGUACGAAUGUCCUUAUCUUCCAGAGUGAAGUGAGGCUGUAGUCAGGCAUUGCAAACUCACAUAGUUAAGGGUGUUUUGUAGGUAAAGUACAUGACGGUAGUUAGUGCAUGCACUAUUUUAAAAAGGCAGUAGUUUCUCUGCUCCAAAAGAGUAUUGUCAUGAAGAAAGAGACCCAGAUGUUCCAGUUUACCCAGAAUUUACCCCAAUCCGGGUUUUUAUGUAAAAUAUUUCAAAUGUUCACAACUACUUAAAACAUUUAAAUAUAUGAGGGUCAAACAAUACCAUAUCCAGCCUGGGGUUUCCAGUUUGUGACAUUGCUACAGCAGAUGGAUAAGAAAAUGAAGUAAGGUGUUUGAAUGUAUGAAAUUAACCAGUAUAGAUGUUAAACUGGCAGCAGCAGCUCUAGAGUAUGGAAGGGCCAUCCGGUCAAAGUCAAGGUGAG
rnacentral:lncRNA from 10 species